CUUCGCUUUGUAGCCAUCGUUGGCUGUUGACUCCUCCAUCUGUUAAGCACUCUUCAGAAUCUACAAUUCUUAGUUCCAUUGCCAAACCUCAGGGCCCUGAAGUGCAGGGGAGAGGCUGAAUUCCAAAGACAGACUUGCUUCUGUACUCUGAGUGAUACUUCCAGAGCUGUUGAUCUGUUGAUGGAUGCCUCACUGAGAAAGAUCAUACCAUUGUGGCCUUCCCUGCUAACUUUUCAUUUUGAACUGAGAGCUUGUGGCCAUGAAGUGGACUCAGAAGGCUAAAACUGGAUCUUUCUAUUUGGAAACAACAGCUGGAUGUAGGGAUGUAAAAGCUCACGCCAGGCCUCCCAGACUGAACCUAUCCAGAAUUGUGAUUCAUGACUCACCAGAUCCUGUGGCCCCCCUAUCCAGGGGUGCACUCAGCACAUGAGGACGCCUGUGAUUCUGCCCCUAUGAGUUCAUCCCCAACCAGUCAGCAAUACCCAUUCCUUAACCCCCUGCCUGGCAAACUGUCUGGGAGACUGAUUUGAGUGAUAACUCCAAUUCUCUUGUGUGGGCCAGCCACAUAUCAAUAAAACUCUUUCUCUACUGCAAUGCCAUGGUCUCAGUGGAUUGAUUUUGUCUGUACACUGGGGCAGGAAGAACCCAUCAGGG
rnacentral:lncRNA from 10 species